rnacentral:rRNA from 1 species
GGGGGUUCCAAUUUUACUCCCAACCCAUGUGACAUACCUACUGUUGCUUCGGCGGGAUUGCCCCGGGCGCCUCGUGUGCCCCGGAUCAGGCGCCCGCCUAGGAAACUUAACUCUUGUUUUAUUUUGGAAUCUUCUGAGUAGUUUUUACAAAUAAAUAAAAACUUUCAACAACGGAUCUCUUGGUUCUGGCAUCGAUGAAGAACGCAGCGAAAUGCGAUAAGUAAUGUGAAUUGCAGAAUUCAGUGAAUCAUCGAAUCUUUGAACGCACAUUGCGCCCGCCAGUAUUCUGGCGGGCAUGCCUGUCUGAGCGUCAUUUCAACCCUCAUGCCCCUAGGGCGUGGUGUUGGGGAUCGGCCAAAGCCCGCGAGGGACGGCCGGCCCCUAAAUCUAGUGGCGGACCCGUCGUGGCCUCCUCUGCGAAGUAGUGAUAUUCCGCAUCGGAGAGCGACGAGCCCCUGCCGUUAAACCCCCAACUUUCCAAGGUUGACCUCAGAUCAGGUAGGAAUACCCGCUGAACUUAAGCAUAUCAAUAAGCGGAGGAA